AACGAACGCUGGCGGCAUGCCUAACACAUGCAAGUCGAACGAGACCUUCGUGCCUAGUUGCGCACGUCUGCGUAACGCGUGGUAAGCUGCCCUUAGGUUCGGUACACCUCCCCGAAAGGGGUGUUAAUACCGGAUAAUGUCUUCCGGCCAAAGAUUUAUUGCCAUUGGAUGGGCGCGGGUUGGAUUGGCCAGUUGGUAGUGUAAAAGCCUACCAAGGCGAUGUUCCAUAGCUGGUAUGGGAAGAGGACAAGCCACACUGGCGAUGAGACACGGACCAGACUCGUACGCAAGGCAGCAGAAGGGAAUAUAGUACGAGGGGCGAAAGCCUGGUCCAGCAAUGCGGCGUGAGUGAUGAAGGCCUUAGGGUUGUAAAGCUCUUUUACACGAGGUGAUAAUGACAGUACCGGGAGAAUAAGCUCCGGCUAACUCCGUG
rnacentral:rRNA from 1 species